CCCUUAGAUGUCCUGGGCCGCACGCGCGCUACACUGAUGCAUUCAACGAGUUUUUCCUUGGCCGAGAGGCCUGGGCAAUCUUUUAAACGUGCAUCGUGAUAGGGAUAGAUUAUUGCAAUUAUUAAUCUUGAACGAGGAAUUCCUAGUAAACGCAAAUCAUCAAUUUGCAUUGAUUACGUCCCUGCCCUUUGUACACACCGCCCGUCGCACCUACCGAUUGAAUGGUCCGGUGAAGCCUCGGGAUUGUGGCCAGUUCACUUUAUUGGGAGUUGGCUGCGAGAACUUGUCUAAACCUUAUCAUUUAGAGGAAGGUGAANUCGUANCA
rnacentral:rRNA from 1 species